rnacentral:rRNA from 1 species
UCUGGUGCCAGCAGCCGCGGUAAUUCCAGCUCUCAAAAUGCAUAGAAUUAUUGCUGCGGUUAAAAAGCUCGUAGUUGGAUCUGUGCCGCAGGACUCGGUCCGCCUUCGGGCGCGCACUGAGCUCCUCGGCUUUUCUGCUGGUUUUCCCGUUAUGGUCUUAACCGGCCGUAGCGGGUGGCUGGCGAUUUUACUUUGAACAAAUCAGAGUGCUCAACACAGGCGUUUCGCUUGAAUGUUCUUGCAUGGAAUAAUAGAAGAGGAUUUCGGUCCUAUUUUAUUGGUUUUAUAGGCUGAAAUAAUGGUUAAUAGAGACAAACGGGGGCAUUCGUAUCGCUGCGUGAGAGGUGAAAUUCUUGGACCGCAGCGAGACGAACUACAGCGAAAGCAUUUGCCAAGAAUGUCUUCAUUAAUCAAGAACGAAAGUUAGAGGAUCGAAGGCGAUCAGAUACCGCCCUAGUUCUAACCGUAAACGAUGUCAACUAGAGAUCCGCCGAUGGAAUUUUUGCCUUGGUGGGGAUCUUACCGGAAACGAAAGUUUUUAGAUUCCGGGGGAAGUAUGGCUGCAAAGCUGAAACUUAAAGGAAUUGACGGAAGGGCACCACCAGGAGUGGAGCCUGCGGCUUAAUUUGACUCAACACAGGAAAACUCACCCGGCCCGGACACCGUGAGGAUUGACAGAUUGAUAGCUCUUUCAUGAUUCGGUGGAUGGUGGUGCAUGGCCGUUCUUAGUUCGUGGAGCGAUUUGUCUGGUUUAUUCCGAUAACGAGCGAGACUCUAGCCUACUAAAUAGACCGCACAUUGUUUCUGUGUGGCGUGACUUCUUAGAGGGAUUUUCGGUGUACAGCCGCACGAAAUUGAGCAAAUAACAGGUCUGUGAUGCCCUUAGAUGUCCCGGGGCUGCACGCGCGCUACACUGGCGAAAUCAGCGUGCUUGUCCUUCCCCGAAAGGGGUUGGUAAACCAAUGAAAAUUCGCCGUGAUUGGGAUCGGAAAUUGCAAUUAUUUUCCGUGAACGAGGAAUUCCAAGUAAAUGCGAGUCAUCAACUCGCGUUGAUUACGUCCCUGCCCUUUGUACACACCGCCCGUCGCUGCCCGGGACUGAGCCAUUUCGAGAAAUUUGGGGAUUGCUGAUUAGCGAUUCUUACGGGUUGCUUUUUGGUGAGAACCAAUUUAAUCGCAGUGGCUUGAACCGGGCAAAAGUCGUAACAAGGUGGCUGUAGGUGAACCU